ACGUACGCUGGCGGCACGCCUAACACAUGCAAGUCGAACGAAGUAGCAAUACUUAGUGGCAGACGGGUGAGUAACAUGUAGGUAUCUGCCCUUUGGCCUGGAAUAACACGAGGAAACUUGUGCUAAUACCGGAUAAGUCUUUACGGAGAAAGCUUUAUGCACCAUUGGAUGAGCCUGCACUUGAUUAGUUUGUUGGUGGGGUAAUGGCCUACCAAGACUGUGAUCAAUAGCUGAUUUGAGAGGAUGAUCAGCCACAUUGGGACUGAGACACGGCCCAAACUCCUACGGGAGGCAGCAGUGGGGAAUCUUGCACAAUGGAGGAAACUCUGAUGCAGCGAUGCCGCGUGAGUGAAGAAGGCCCUUGGGUUGUAAAGCUCUUUCGUCGGGGAAGAAAAUGACUGUACCCGAAUAAGAAGGUCCGGCUAACUUCGUGCCAGCAGCCGCGGUAAUACGAAGGGACCUAGCGUAGUUCGGAAUUACUGGGCUUAAAGAGUUCGUAGGUGGUUGAAAAAGUUAGUGGUGAAAUCCCAGAGCUUAACUCUGGAACUGCCAUUAAAACUUUUCAGCUAGAGUAUGAUAGAGGAAAGCAGAAUUUCUAGUGUAGAGGUGAAAUUCGUAGAUAUUAGAAAGAAUACCAAUUGCGAAGGCAGCUUUCUGGAUCAUUACUGACACUGAGGAACGAAAGCAUGGGUAGCGAAGAGGAUUAGAUACCCUCGUAGUCCAUGCCGUAAACGAUGUGUGUUAGACGUUGGAAAUUUAUUUUCAGUGUCGCAGCGAAAGCGAUAAACACACCGCCUGGGGAGUACGACCGCAAGGUUAAAACUCAAAUGAAUUGACGGGGACCCGCACAAGUAGUGGAGCAUGUGGUUUAAUUCGAAGAUACGCGCAGAACCUUACCAACACUUGACAUGUUCGUCGCGACUCUAAGAGAUUAGAGUUUUCGGUUCGGCCGGACGAAACACAGGUGCUGCAUGGCUGUCGUCAGCUCGUGUCGUGAGAUGUUGGGUUAAGUCCCGCAACGAGCGCAACCCUCACUUUUAGUUGCCAUCAUUAAGUUGGGCACUCUGAAAGAACUGCCAGUGAUAAGCUGGAGGAAGGUGGGGAUGACGUCAAGUCCUCAUGGCCCUUACGUGUUGGGCUACACACGUGCUACAAUGGUAUCUACAACAGGAAGCAAGACUGCGAAGUUAAGCAAAUCCCUAAAAGAUACCUCAGUUCGGAUUGCACUCUGCAACUCGAGUGCAUGAAGCUGGAAUUACUAGUAAUCGUGGAUCAGCGUGCCACGGUGAAUGCGUUCCCGGGUCUUGUACACACCGCCCGUCAAGGGC
rnacentral:rRNA from 1 species